rnacentral:rRNA from 3 species
CAACUUUCAACAACGGAUCUCUUGGCUCUCGCAUCGAUGAAGAACGCAGCGAAAUGCGAUAAGUAAUGUGAAUUGCAGAUUUUCAGUGAAUCAUCGAAUCUUUGAACGCACCUUGCGCCCCUUGGUAUUCCGAGGGGCAUGCCUGUUUGAGUGUCAUUA